rnacentral:rRNA from 1 species
CCUACGGGAGGCAGCAGUGGGGGAUAUUGGACAAUGGGGGGAACCCUGAUCCAGCGACGCCGCGUGAGUGAAGAAGUAUUUCGGUAUGUAAAGCUCUGUCAGCAGGGAAGAAAGAAAUGACGGUACCUGACCAAGAAGCCCCGGCUACCUACGUGCCAGCAGCCGCGGUAAUACGUAGGGGGCAAGCGUUAUCCGGAAUUACUGGGUGUAAAGGGAGCGUAGACGGUUAAGUAAGUCUGGAGUGAAAGGCCGGGGCCCAACCCCGGGACUGUUCUGGAAACUAUUGAGCUUGAGUGCAGGGGAGGUAAGCGGAAUUCCUAGUGUAGCGGUGAAAUGCGUAGAUAUUAGGAGGAACACCAGUGGCGAAGGCGGCUUACUGGACUGUAACUGACGUUGAGGCUCGAAAGCGUGGGGAGCAAACAGGAUUAGAUACCCCGGUAGUC